GGUUGGAUCCUGCCGGACCCUACUGCUAUCGGGGUGGGACUAAGACAUGCGUGUCGAACGACCCCAAGCCAACAUGAGGUCGUGGCAUACGGCUCAGUAACACGUGGCUAACCUACCCUCGAGACAGGGACAACCCCGGGAAACUGGGGCUAAUCCCAGAUAGAUGAAGACCCCUGGAACGGGUCCUCGUCCAAAAGGCACCACGGUUAUGCUCUGCGGUGUCGCUCAAGGAUGGGGCCGCGUCCGAUCAGGCUGUUGGUGAGGUAAUGGCUCACCAAACCUAUAACCGGUACGGGCCGUGGGAGCGGGAGCCCGGAGAUGGGAACUGAGACAAGGUCCCAGGCCCUACGGGGCGCAGCAGUUACGAAAACUUGUCAAUGCACGAAAGUGUGAACGGGCUACCCCGAGUGCCGUCCGCUGAGGAUGGCUUUUCUCUGCUUUAAGAAGGCAGAGGAAUAAGGCGAGGGCAAGUCUGGUGUCAGCCGCCGCGGUAAUACCAGCUCGCCGAGUGGUAGGGAUGAUUAUUGGGCCUAAAGCGUCCGUAGCUGGCCUUUCAAGUCUCUUGUUAAAUCCAACGAUUCAAUCGUUGGACUGCAGGAGAUACUGCAAGGCUAGGAGGCGAGAGAAGCCGACGGUAUUUUCGGGGUAGGGGUAAAAUCCUAUAAUCCCGAGAAGACCACCAGUGGCGAAGGCGGUCGGCUAGCGCGCGCUCGACAGUGAGGGACGAAAGCUGGGGGAGCGAACCGGAUUAGAUACCCGGGUAGUCCCAGCUGUAAACGAUGCUGGCUAGGUGUUGAAGCGGCCACGAGCCGCUUCAGUGCCGCAGGAAAGCCAUUAAGCCAGCCGCCUGGGGAGUACGGCCACAAGGCUGAAACUUAAAGGAAUUGGCGGGGGAGCACCACAAGGGGUGAAGCUUGCGGUUUAAUUGGAGUCAACGCCGGA
rnacentral:rRNA from 1 species